rnacentral:lncRNA from 1 species
CUGAGUAGGUAAGAGAAAGAAAUAUCUAAAAGGCCUAGGAAUGUGGCAAACAAUAUAGCCUGUAAAACAGUGAUUUCUUUGUACCGUCGGGACCACUGCUAUGAAAACCGGCCUUAGAGGAAAAAUGAGUUAUUGUACUUUUACCUUAAUCCACAUCUUAUUUUUGCUGAAUUUGUCUUGACCCUUACUCUCCGGCAUCCUAGCUCUAUGAUCUUGCUCAAGUUAUUUCACCAUUCUGGGCCUCAGAUUUCUCUCUGGACGAUGAAGAAUAGUAGUACCUCAUCACAGAGCUGCUGUCAGGACUAACAGGAGAAAUCCCAUAUAAUGUACCUAGAAUAUAGAAACCAGUCACUAAACGAUUUUUCAGACUCCAUAGAAAAAGAGAACAGAAAAACGUAUUGGUCAAACAUAUUGGUCAGUUCUUUCAUCCUGUAAUUGCUAAGGCAUAUAUGAAAAUUACCCUGUCAUCAUGACCCUGUCUGCCUAAGAGAAAAGCCAUAUAUGCUACUACAGGGGAACAGAGAAUGGCUUCUGAGUGCUCAGAAGAAGAAAUGCUACCAUCUAAUUAGAGUCAUCAUGGACAGCUUUAUUCCAGAUCUCCAUUUGAACAGACUCUUACUGGAUGUAUGGCAGAUGUGUAUGGAGAUGUGUUGUAAAGCGCAGAAAUGUGGAAGCAAAAAGCAAAAACGUAGGUAAAGGUAGAUACUAAAUUCAAAACAGCAAUUCAAAACAGCAAGUAACUCCGAUGAUUGGCAUUAAGUAUAGAGUGAGAAGGAUACCAAGAGAGAAGAGAGAAUAUUAUCUGAGGAAAUUACAUCCUCCUCUCAGGAGAAGGUAAAUAGUAGCUUGGGAAAAAUUAUGCUGCUGGAAAGAAAGGGCUUGGAAAUUCCUAGAUCAUGAGCCUGGAAACAAUGAAAUAAAUGGAUUGGGAGACAUUUCACAAAUUCUUGUAUUAAUUUCAGAUGCAAGAACAGCUCAUCUGUAUUAUCAGGAUGAAAUGAAGAGCAUAUUGGACCAAGAGCUGGUUGCUGGGUGAUAUAGAGGUUGGGGAGUUAUGGAUAUCUUCCUCUUAAUUCUCUUAAUUGUCCAAUUUUUUUUCAGUGUAGUAGGACGCAAGAUCAUCUGUUAACAGUGAGCAUGGGAGAGGAUGUGGAGAAAGUUUGGAGAGAAGAAAUUGUAUGAAAUUGUAAUCUCCAAAAUCAAAAGAAUGCAUGAAGUAGAUAAGUGUUAUAAUAUCAUUAUGUUAUUAAUCAUGGCAUCAUAGUAACAAUACUAUUAAUCGCCCACAUCAGAUCUGUUUUGAUGAAUUUAAACACUUAAACAGAAUAUUCAGCAUGUUCGGCAUGGUUGUGUUUUUUUUAAACAAUAUAUUCAGAUACAAUGUUGUAGAAAAGGAGUAGAUGAGAAGCAAAUAGUUAACUGGGAUAUGGUUUUGACAAAUACAUAUGAUGACAUAAGAGAGAGGGGCAGAUUAAGGAAUGAGGUUGGUGGAGAGAGAGAGAGAGCCAGAAUCAGAGGGUGAGAGGGGAUGAGAAAGUGAGGAGCAAACUCGCUGUUAAGAUUGUGAUUGGCAGAACUGUGGCUGAGAAAAGUAUGUUUCUGUUAGGAGUAAGAAUACCAAUGAAAUGAGAAUUUGGAUAUUGAAUAUCAAAUUCAAUAAUGACUAUGGAAAUCACAUCAUGGAGAGAGUGAGUCAGUGGUCAAACCCAUGCAUAAAAGAAGGGUGGUGACCAGGAGAUCUGAUCACCAGGAGAUUCUUGAUACUCACAGGCUUAAAUUGCCACUGGGACAGGCCGAUGGCCUGUGUUUCAAUGUAGCUGGGUGUUUGAAGGAGGAAGGUAAAGAUACGUUUGCAAUUGGCUUUAAGGACCAAAACCAGGGAAGACACUGACGACAUUCAGACCCUGAGAUAUAUGGGGUAUGAAAGUGAAGGAGCUUCUGCUAGAAAAGAUCACAGCAUGGUGAGAAAACUCUUCAUAAUUUCUUGGGGAUUUGAAAGCCUCAGAUAGAUACUCUCUGUUAUUGGCAUGAGUAUUUUGAAUGAAAUAUAUGCAUAUCUACAAAACUUAUGAUCAGUAUAUGUACUUACAGUAGAUAUUAAGGGUAUAUGUGUGAUUUUCCAGUUUCUGUUCUUGUGUGAAUUUCAAAUAUAUUGCCUUUCUCCUUAUUUCUUAAUAUAUCACUCAAAUCCUUUAUUUUCUUGUGGCACAGUACUCUGCAAAUCUCAUUGCAGGAUAAAAGUAAUCUCUUUACACAGUGAGAAAUGGGAAAGAUUUUUACUGUUCCAGUGCCCUUAGUUUAAGUGUUGUCUUUAUUAAACUAAAAUUUUUAUGAUAAACAUGAUUUUCUUUACUGAUUUUACAGCUUUUUAUAUAUGGAUCCCAAAUUAUCACUUAAUGUGAUCAUUUGGAAUUUCAUGGCAAUUCAAGUGCCAUGACAAUUUCUAACAUAUUUCUACUUUAAAAUAGCUGACAUGCAUGUCAGAUUUAUUUUGUCAAUCAGUGUUGCUACUAAAGAGUUUUGGAGCAGACCACUUUAUCAGUGCUGUACAAAAGUUAAUCUUUCUGAAUCCAAGUUAAAGAAAAUAGAGAAAUAAAAUGAAAAGUAAAAGCAUCAUCAUUCACACCUCUGGCCCUGUGCGUGGAUCCCACUGCGUAUUGCAGCAAUGCUCACUGCUGCCAGAGACGAUUCUCCAUCAACUCUACUUUUUUUUUGUGGGGGGGUAUAUUUCUGCUACUUUGAAAGAGAGGAAAACUAUGUUAUUUUCUUUUAAGAAAAACCCUUUUAUUUUUAUUCCAAUAGCUAAUGGUACAAGUGGUUUUUGGUUACAUGGAUUAACUGCAGAGUAGUGAAGUCUGGGCUUUUAGUGCACCUGUCAUCCGAAUAACGGACAGUGUACCCAAUAGGGAUUUUUUUUUAUUCCUAGCCCCUCUGCGACCUUGCCUCUUUCUGAGUCUACAAUGUUUAUCAUAGCACUCCGUAUACCUUUGUGUACACAUAGCUUAGCUCCCACUUGUAAAUGAGAACAUGCAUUAUUUGGUUUUCCAUUUCUGAAUGGCUUCCGUUAGAAUAAUGGCCUCCAGUUCCAUCCAAGUUGCUGCAAAAUACUUUAUUUCAUUCUUUUUUAUGGCCAAGUAGUACUUCAUGGUGUAUAGAUAGAGAUAGAGAUAUAUAGAUAUAUCACAUCAUCUUCUUUAUUCACCCAUGAGUUGAUGGACACUGAGGUUGAUUACAAAUAUUUGCAAUUGUCAAUUGUGCUGUGAUAAAGAUAUGUGUGCAGAUGGCUUUUUGAUAUAAUGACUUCUUUUCCUUUUCGGUAGGUGCACAGUAGUUGCAUUUCUGGAUCAAAUGGUAGAUCUACUUGCAGGUUUUUGAUAAAUCUCUAUAUUGUUUUCCAUAGAGGUUGACUAAUUUACUUUUUAUAUUUUUUCAUCAUUCAAUAUUUAUUGAUAUUUUUGUGCCAAGGGCUGGUGACCAUGGGGUAAUAAAUGUAUACUCCUUCCCGUCUUAUUUGUUGGCAUGAGUUCAAGUUUUUAGUUGUAAAUGAAAGAAACUAUUGUGGUUGCCUUAAACACAAAGGAAUUUAUCAAAAUUAUAUGAAAUUACUAAUUUUCUUGAGGCUUGGGUACUGCUGAGCCAGAAACAAGAUCUAAAAUUAUGCCAGAGAUCUAUCACCAGCAGUAGAACUGCAUUUUCACAUAUCCACACCUCUGGCCCUGUGCGUGAAUCCCACUGCAUAUUGCAGCAAUGCUGACUUCUGCCAGAGACGAUUCUCCAUCAACUCUACAUUUUGUGUGUGUGUGACUUUUACCGAUUGAUAUGGUUUGGCUGUGUUCCACCCAAAUCUCAUCUUGAAUUGUAGUUCCCGUAAUUUCCAUGUGUUGUGGGUGGGACCUGGUGGGAGAUAUCUGAAUCAUGGGGGCAAUUUGUCCCAUACUGUUCUCUUGGUAGUGAAUAAGUCCUAUGAGAUCGGGUGGUUUUAUAAGGGGGAACCCCUUUCAUUUGGCUCUCAUUUUCUCUCUUGCCUGCUGCCAUGUAAUAUGUGCCUUUUGCCUUCCACCAUGAUUAUGAGGCCUCCCCAGCCACGUUGAACAGUGAGUCUAUUAAACCUCUUUUUCCUUAUAAAUUACCCAGUCUCAGAUAUGUCUUUAUUAGCAGCAUGAAAAUGGACUAAUACACAUACCAUGAGUAUAUCUCAUUGGCAAAGCCUGCAUCCAAGCUGUAAGGGAGUCUGAGAAUGUGAGUGCAGGAAAGUCUGAGCAUCUUCAAGGAAGAGGGAGAGUUACCUUCCUCCAAAUAAACUCAAACAUGUCAUAAGAAAUAGAUCCAAAUAUUGAAUGGCCGAAACAAAUGCCAGAUAUGUUUAAUAAAGUGUAUUCUUUCCUUGGAUUAUUUUUCUCUUCUCUUUAUGUUCACAUGAUAUUAGAUUGUUUUUUCAUCAUUACCUCUUUUUCCUCGAAAAGAAAUAGUAUUAAUGGCUGAUAUUUAAUUCAUUUUCACAGUAGAGAACAUGUCAUCUCCUCAGUUUUGCUACAUUCACUCACCACUUAUAUGUAAUUUAAUAUUUUAUUUUAAAGUAAUAUGAAAUUUAAUACAAUAUUUUUAAAAGGAAACUAUAAAUUACUACCAUAAAUAGAAAAACAAUAUAUUAUGCUAUAAAUUAUAAGUUACUUGUGGAAACAAAUGUUAUCACAUUUAACUUCAGAUGCUGGUGCCCACGAAAUGUUCUUAGCCUGAGGUUGUCUCUCUCCUUUUUCAUAGCCCUUACUAGAGUAUUUAUUGUUUCCUUGUUCAUUUUUGCCCCUUCCCAAAAUAUGCUAAAAGACUUCAUUUUUCUUCAAGAUGCAGACUCAGAACCUACACUAAUGCCCAACAGUCAGCAGAUCCUCAAUUUGUUGAUUACAGUAAUUUAUAAACUAGAAAAUAAUGUAAUUGGGGGGAACUUUUUCUUUGUGUAGUUCACUGUGUUUUGGUCCCAUAGAUCAUCUUUUAUACACAUUGUGAGUAGAACGUAUUUAAAUUUUGGGAAACAUUGAUCCAUGGCAUUUGAUAUAGGAUGUACUUAGCUCCUUGUGCCAAGUAAAAUAUGAAUUGCCAGAGAAAUCAUGAUAUGUAGGUUUAAUUUAUUUUUCUUGGACAUUACAAGAAUAUAAAACCUGAUCAUC